GAGUUUGAUCCUGGCUCAGAUUGAACGCUGGCGGCGAUGCCUUACACAUGCAAGUCGAACGGCAGCACGGGCUUCGGCCUGGUGGCGAGUGGCGAACGGGUGAGUAAUACAUCGGAACGUGCCCUGUUGUGGGGGAUAACCAGUCGAAAGAUUGGCUAAAUACCGCAUACGACCUGAGGGUGAAAGCGGGGGACCGCAAGGCCUCGCGCAGCAGGAGCGGCCGAUGUCUGAUUAGCUAGUUGGUGGGGUAAAGGCCCACCAAGGCGACGAUCAGUAGCUGGUCUGAGAGGACGAUCAGCACACUGGGACUGAGACACGGCCCAGACUCCUACGGG
rnacentral:rRNA from 1 species